rnacentral:rRNA from 1 species
UUGAUCCUGGCUCAGGAUGAACGCUAGCGGCAGGCCUAAUACAUGCAAGACGAACGGUAAGCUUUUCAGCAAUGAGAAGCCUAGAGUGUCGUAAGGGUGCGUAACACGUAUGCAAUCUGCCCUGUACAGGAGGAUAGCUCCCCGAAAGGGGAAUUAACACUCCAUAAGAUCACGAGAGGGCAUCUGAUUGUGAUUAAAACUGAGGUGGUACAGGAUGAGCAUGCGCAUGAUUAGUUAGUUGGCGGGGUAAAGGCCCACCAAGACGAUGAUCAUUAGGGGAACUGAGAGGUUGAUCCCCCACACUGGCACUGAGAUACGGGCCAGACUCCUACGGGAGGCAGCAGUAGGGAAUAUUGGACAAUGGGUGAGAGCCUGAUCCAGCCAUGCCGCGUGCAGGAAGAAAGCCUUCUGGGUUGUAAACUGCUUUUGCCAGGGGAUAAAAACACUAUGCGUAGUGGAUUGAAGGUACCUGGUGAAUAAGCCACGGCUAACUACGUGCCAGCAGCCGCGGUAAUACGUAGGUGGCAAGCGUUGUCCGGAUUUAUUGGGUUUAAAGGGUGCGUAGGCGGUUCAAUAAGUCAGUGGUGAAAUACGGCAGCUCAACUGUCGAGGUGCCAUUGAUACUGUUGAACUUGAGUACUGAUGAGGUAGGCGGAAUGGACGGUGUAGCGGUGAAAUGCUUAGAGAUCGUCCAGAACACCGAUAGCGAAGGCAGCUUACUAAGGAGUAACUGACGCUGAGGCACGAAAGUGUGGGGAUCAAACAGGAUUAGAUACCCUGGUAGUC